GACGAACGCUGGCGGCGUGCUUAACACAUGCAAGUCGAACGGAAAGGCCCUGCUUUUGUGGGGUGCUCGAUUGGCGAACGGGUGAGUAACACGUGAGUAUACUGCCCUUGACUUUGUGAUAACUUUAGGAAACUGGGGCUAAUACACGCUAGGAGCUCCUGCUGCAUGUUGUGGGUUGGAAAGUUUCGGCGGUUGGGGAUGGACUCGCGGCUUAUCAGCUUGUUGGUGGGGUAGUGGCUUACCAAGGCUUUGACGGGUAGCCGGCCUGAGAGGGUGACCGGCCACAUUGGGACUGAGAUACGGCCCAGACUCCUACGGGAGGCAGCAGUGGGGAAUAUUGCACAAUGGGCGGAAGCCUGAUGCAGCAACGCCGCGUGCGGGAUGACGGCCUUCGGGUUGUAAACCGCUUUCGCCUGUGACGAAGCGUGAGUGACGGUAAUGGGUAAAGAAGCACCGGCUAACUACGUG
rnacentral:rRNA from 1 species